CCCUUAGAUGUCCUGGGCCGCACGCGCGCUACACUGAGUGUCUGAGAUACGAGUCUGCCUGGUCCGGCAAGGUCUAGGUAAUCGCUAAAAGACACAUCAUGCUUGGGAUAGAUUAUUGCAAAUAUUAAUCUUGAACGAGGAAUUCCUAGUAAGCGCAAGUCAACAGCUUGCGUUGAUUACGUCCCUGCCCUUUGUACACACCGCCCGUCGCUACUACUGAUUGGAUGUUUAAGCGAGGUUCUCGAACUGCUAGCGACUUAGCUUCGGUGAGGUCGCAGUGUGGAAAGUGAACCUAGCUUUGGUGUCUAGAGGAAGUAAAAGUCGUAACA
rnacentral:rRNA from 1 species